rnacentral:misc_RNA from 1 species
GCAAACUUGGUCAUUUAGAGGAAGUAAAAGUCGUAACAAGGUUUCCGUAGGUAUGUAUUGCAUCGACCCCCUUCCUCUUUGAUACGCAUAUGCUAACGUUUAAUUUCUAGGUGAACCUGCGGAAGGAUCAUUACCGAGUUAGGGUCUUCUCAGGCCCGACCUCCCAACCCUAUGUUUAUUAAACCUAUGUUGCUUCGGCGGGCCCGUCUCACGACCGCCGGGGGACCGUAAGACGUCCUCUGGCCCGCGCCCGCCGGUGGCCAAACUUGACAAACUCUGAUCGAAUCGUGUCACUGUCUGAGUACCAUUUUUAAUUAAAGCAAAACUUUCAACAACGGAUCUCUUGGUUCUGGCAUCGAUGAAGAACGCAGC